rnacentral:rRNA from 1 species
CAAUAGCGUAUAUUAAAGUUGUUGCAGUUAAAAAGCUCGUAGUUGGAUUUCUGGUUGAAGCGACCGGUCGGGCGUUGAUUCGUCUGCACUGGCGUCGGUUUUGGCCAUCCUCUAGGAAAGUGCGUCUGGUAUUAAGUUAUCGGGCGUAUGAUCCUGGUCUUUUACUGUGAAAAAAUUAGAGUGUUUAAAGCAGGCCUUCGCCUUGAAUACAUUAGCAUGGAAUAAUAAGAUAGGACUUUGGUCUAUUUUGUUGGUUUGCAGACCGAAGUAAUGAUUAAUAGGGAUAGUUGGGGGUAUUUAUAUUCCGAUGUCAGAGGUGAAAUUCUUAGAUUUUCGGAAGAUAAACUUAUGCGAAAGCAUUUACCAAGGAUGUUUUCAUUAA